rnacentral:rRNA from 1 species
ACGCUCGACACCAGGCAGCAGUGGGGAAUAUUGCACAAUGGGGGAAACCCUGAUGCAGCAACGCCGCGUGAGCGAAGAAGUAUUUCGGUAUGUAAAGCUCUAUCAGCAGGGAAGAAAGUGACGGUACCUGAGUAAGAAGCCCCGGCUAACUACGUGUCAGCAGCCGCGGUAAUCUGAGCGGGCUGGCAAGGC